rnacentral:rRNA from 1 species
GGUGAAAGGCUUGCUGCCUGGGGAAGAGCUUGCGUCUGAUUAGCUAGUUGGUAGUGUAAGAGACUACCAAGGCGACGAUCAGUAGCUGGUCUGAGAGGAUGAUCAGCCACACUGGGACUGAGACACGGCCCAGACUCCUACGGGAGGCAGCAGUGGGGAAUUUUCCGCAAUGGGCGAAAGCCUGACGGAGCAAUACCGCGUGAGGGAGGAAGGCUCUUGGGUUGUAAACCUCUUUUCUCAGGGAAGAAAAAAAUGACGGUACCUGAGGAAUAAGCAUCGGCUAACUCCGUGCCAGCAGCCGCGGUAAUACGGAGGAUGCAAGCGUUAUCCGGAAUGAUUGGGCGUAAAGGGUCCGCAGGUGGCAUUGAAAGUCUGCUGUUAAAGAGUCUAGCUCAACUAGAUAAAAGCAGUGGAAACUACAAAGCUAGAGUUUGGUCGGGGCAGAAGGAAUUCCUGGUGUAGCGGUGAAAUGCGUAGAUAUCAGGAAGAACACCAGUGG